ensembl:snoRNA SNORD24 Small nucleolar RNA SNORD24
UGCAGAUGAUGAUUACAAUAUUUGCUAUCUGAAUAGCAGUGAUUACAUAUUUAACCACCAAGAUCGCUGAUGCA